rnacentral:rRNA from 1 species
UGUUUAUCAAAAACAUAGUUUAAGGAAAUAAUCUUAAAUGUAUUCUGCCCAGUGAUCUAUUUUAAAUGGCCGCAGUACCUUGACUGUGCUAAGGUAGCAUAAUCAAUUGGCUUCUAAUUAAAGUCUGGAAUGAAAGGAAAAAUGGGGUAAUUCUGUCUUAAGGAAUUUUUUUUGAAUUUAUUUAAAUGAUGAAAAUAUCAUUUUUUAGAAAAAAGACGAGAAGACCCUUAGAGUUUUCAAUUUUUUUUUGUUGGGGCGACAAGUAAACAAUUAAACUUUACUAGUGUAAUAAAUCGAUUUUUUAUAAGAAUAAUUAAACUACCUUAGGGAUAACAGCAUUAUAUAUUUUAUGAUUGUGACCUCGAUGUUGGACUAGGAACUUUAUGGCUAGCCGCAAAAAAGAUUUGUUCU